AUUUAUGUAGUUUAUCUAAAACAUUACACUUUCACUGUAAAAAUAAAUUACCUUUCAUAAAUA
rnacentral:tRNA from 1 species